CAGUUCCAAAUGACCAAGACGCCAAGGGGUCUCGCCUUCUUGAAUUUAUACACUGGUUUCUUCAGUCUUCAAGUGAAUGUAACAGAAAAAUGUACCGACUGUUACAACCGAAGUGGGAAAUGCGAAAUUGAUAGCAAUCGAAAGUUCUAUUGUGCAAAUGCUAUUGAAAUAGGAUGAAACAGAAAAAUUGAAGCUAGUCCUGGGAAUAGGUAUUGGAAUCGGAGCUUCAACUCAAGAUUCACUUCUGCUGAUCCUUCCUCUAACUUAGAGUUCCAAUUAGGCAGUGCCUGCUUAGGGGUCCUUAUCUUCUCCUACACUGAACUUGCAGAAGCUAUCAAUAAUUUUAGUGUCAGUUGUUAAGGUUUUUGCCAACAAGCUGCCCGAUCCACAGUGUGGAUAAUGAAUAUAUUUUUCAAUUAUCUCUUUGUUGUAAUCUUUUAAAUUGCACUGAAUUAA